UACGAAGGGGGCUAGCGUUGCUCGGAAUCACUGGGCGUAAAGCGCACGUAGGCGGCUUGCUAAGUCAGGGGUGAAAUCCUGGAGCUCAACUCCAGAACUGCACUUGAUACUGGCGGUCUCGAGUCCGGGAGAGGUGAGUGGAACUGCGAGUGUAGAGGUGAAAUUCGUAGAUAUUCGCAAGAACACCAGUGGCGAAGGCGGCUCACUGGCCCGGUACUGACGCUGAGGUGCGAAAGCGUGGGGAGCAAACAGG
rnacentral:rRNA from 1 species